AGUGAACGCUGGCGGCAGGCCUAACACAUGCAAGUCGAACGGCAGCACAAGAGAGCUUGCUCUCUGGGUGGCGAGUGGCGGACGGGUGAGGAAUGCAUCGGAAUCUGCCCAUUUGUGGGGGAUAACCUCGGGAAACCGGGACUAAUACCGCAUACGACCUACGGGUGAAAGCAGGGGAUCUUCGGACCUUGCGCAGAUGGAUGAGCCGAUGCCGGAUUAGCUAGUUGGAGGGGUAAAGGCCCACCAAGGCGACGAUCCGUAGCUGGUCUGAGAGGAUGAUCAGCCACACUGGGACUGAGACACGGCCCAGACUCCUACGGGAGGCAGCAGUGGGGAAUACUGGACAAUGGGCGCAAGCCUGAUCCAGCCAUGCCGCGUGUGUGAAGAAGGCCUUCGGGUUGUAAAGCACUUUUGUUGGGAAAGAAAAGCAGCCGGUUAAUACCCGGUUGUCAUGACGGUACCCAAAGAAUAAGCACCGGCUAACUUCGUG
rnacentral:rRNA from 1 species